UACGUAGGGACCGAGCGUUGUCCGGAAUCAUUGGGCGUAAAGAGCGUGUAGGCGGCCACUUAAGUCCUGCGUGAAAUCUUGCGGCUCAACCGCAAGCGGUCGUGGGAAACUGGGUGGCUAGAGUGCGGGAGAGGAGAGUGGAAUUCCUGGUGUAGCGGUGGAAUGCGCAGAUAUCAGGAGGAACACCGGUGGCGAAGGCGGGUCUCUGGGCCGAUAUCGACGCUGAGGAGCGAAAGCGUGGGGAGCGAACAGG
rnacentral:rRNA from 1 species